GCUCAUGUGUCUAGGCGAUCAUCUUAGGUUUCUGUCUUUUUCUGUGUGUGUAAUACUUCGAAAUUUUAGAACGUUAAAAACAAAAGAGAUAUGUAUCCAAAAACAAAUGCCUUGUGCAAACAUUGAGGACUUUGUUUGGUGACCUGGGGAACAAAGCCCCUUUUUGGACUUAAUGCAGAAUAGGAAUCUCAUCGUUGGUUCCUCUGCGCUGCUUUCCAGCUAACCCGUAUCUAAACAUGACAGAUAAAGUUGUUUACACAUUUAAUCAGUUUGAGAAACUCUACUGGGCUGCAGAUGAGGUGUAAAGGAAGAAACUUCUUCCAGAGAAUAUAUUCAUGACUCCUCUUUGUUUAUCCAAUGAUUCAAGGCUCAUCCACUGCAGAGUUCAACAGGAUUUAUGGAGGGCCUCUCUCGACAUUUAAUUUUAAACCUAAUUUUAAAACCUGGAGAAAAGAAAUCUGUCAAAGUAAAGUUUACACCAGUUCACAACAGAACUGUUUCUUCACUUGUCAUCGUCAGAAAUAACCUGACUGUGAUGGAUGCUGUGAUGGUCCAAGGACAAGGAACAACUGAGAACUUGAGGGUGGCAGGCAAGCUUCCAGGUCCAGGAAGUUCCUUGCGCUUUAAAAUCACGGAAGCCUUGUUAAAAGAUUGUACAGAUAGUUUAAAACUAAGAGAACCAAAUUUCACAUUGAAAAGAACAUUUAAGGUAGAGAAUACAGGACAACUUCAAAUUCACAUAGAAACCAUUGAAAUCAGUGGAUACUCCUGUGAAGGAUAUGGCUUUAAAGUGGUUAAUUGUCAAGAGUUUGUUCUAAGUGCCAAUGCCUCUAGAGAUAUCAUCAUCUUGUAAGUAUUUUAUUUUAAGCUAUAAUGAAUCAUUAACUUUCUAUACUAGAGCUGCUCAAACUCUAUGCAAAGAUAUGUUUUCAUGUUUCCCAAAAGUCUUUAUCCACAAAUGUAUUCAUUUGAUUUUUUUUUUCCACUUAAUCUUUGGCUA
rnacentral:lncRNA from 1 species